UACGGAGGGUGCAAGCGUUAUCCGGAUUCACUGGGUUUAAAGGGUGCGUAGGUGGGCUGGUAAGUCAGUGGUGAAAUCCCCGAGCUUAACUUGGGAACUGCCAUUGAUACUAUCAGUCUUGAAUACCGUGGAGGUCAGCGGAAUAUGUCAUGUAGCGGUGAAAUGCUUAGAUAUGACAUAGAACACCAAUUGCGAAGGCAGCUGGCUACACGGAUAUUGACACUGAGGCACGAAAGCGUGGGGAUCAAACAGG
rnacentral:rRNA from 1 species